rnacentral:rRNA from 1 species
CAAAGAUUACGCCAUGCAAGUGAAAGUAUAUGCAUAUUUUAUAUGUAGAAACUGCGAACGGCUCAUUAAAACAGUUAUAAUCUACUUGACAUUUUUUCUAUAAGGAUAACUACGGAAAAGCUGUAGCUAAUACUUGCUUUAGCACUCUUGAUUCAUUUCUUGAGUGUGUACUUGUUAAGCCUUUUAAGAAAAAAGUUAUUAACUUAAGGAAUUAUAACAAAGAAGCGACACGUAAUGGAUCCGUCCAUUUUUAGUGUGUAUCAAUCGAGUUUCUGACCUAUCAGCUUUUGAUGUUAGGGUAUUGGCCUAACAUGGCUAUGACGGGUAACGGGGAAUUAGAGUUCGAUUCCGGAGAGGGAGCCUGAGAAAUAGCUACCACAUCUAAGGAAGGCAGCAGGCGCGUAAAUUACCCAAUUCUAAAGAAGAGAGGUAGUGACAAGAAAUAACAAUACAAGGCCAAUCUGGCUUUGUAAUUGGAAUGAUGGGAAUUUAAAACCUUCCCAAAACUCAAUUGGAGGGCAAGUCUGGUGCCAGCAGCCGCGGUAAUUCCAGCUCCAAUAGCGUAUAUUAAAAUUGUUGCAGUUAAAACGCUCGUAGUUGAAUUUCAAAGAAUCGAUAUUUUAAGCAACGCUUCUAGCUUAAUCCACAUAACUGAUACUUCGUAUCGACUUUGUGCGCAUUUUGCUAUUAUGUGUUCUUUUAAUUAAAAUGAUUCUUUUUAAGGACUUUCUUUGCUUCGGCUUGGAAUCCCUUGUUACUUUGAGUAAAUUAGAGUGUUCAAAGCAAACAGAUAUAGCAUUGCGCGUUUGAAUACUACAGCAUGGAAUAACAAAAUUGAACAAGUCAGAAUUUUGUUCUUUUUUCUUAUUUUGGCUUAGUUACGAUUAAUAGGAGUAGCUUGGGGGCAUUUGUAUUCAGAUGUCAGAGGUGAAAUUCUUAGAUUUUCUGGAGACAAACAACUGCGAAAGCAUUUGCCUAAAAUACUUCCAUUAAUCAAGAACGAAAGUUAAGGGAGUGAAGACGAUCAGAUACCGUCGUAAUCUUAACCAUAAACUAUGCCGACUAGGCUUUGGAUGAAAGAUUUUAAAAUAAGAAUUUUCUCUUCGGAGUUUAUUCUUAGAUUGCUUCCUUCAGUGCCUUAUGAGAAAUCAAAGUCUUUGGGUUCUGGGGCGAGUAUUCGCGCAAGCGAGAAAGUUAAAAGAAUUGACGGAAGGGCACCACCAGGCGUGGAGCUUGCGGCUUAAUUUGACUCAACACGGGAAAACUCACUAGUUUAAGACAAGAGUAGGAUUGACAGAUUAAUAGCUCUUUCUUGAUUUCUUGGAUGGUGAUGCAUGGCCGUUUUUAGUUCGUGAAUAUGAUUUGUCUGGUUAAUUCCGAUAACGAACGAGAUCUUAACCUGCUAAUUAGCGGCAAAUACGAUAUAUUCUUACGUGGGACUGAAUUCGGUUGAUUUGCUUACUUUGAAGAAAAUAUUGGGAUACGUAACAGUUUCCCUUUCCCUUUUCUACUUAGUUCGCUUUUCAUACUGUUUCUUUUUCGCGUAAGAAUGUAUUU